ACCAACCGGGAUUGCCUCAGUAACGGCGAGUGAAGCGGCAACAGCUCAAAUUUGAAAGCCCGCGGGCGUUGUAAUUUGCAGGCGGAUGUUUUGGGGCGGGCGCUGUCUACGUUCCUUGGAACAGGACGCCGCAGAGGGUGAGAGCCCCGUGCGAUGGCGCCUUUAACCGCGUAAAACUCCGCCGACGAGUCGAGUUGUUUGGGAAUGCAGCUCUAAGUGGGUGGUAAAUUCCAUCUAAAGCUAAAUACUGGCGAGAGACCGAUAGCGAACAAGUACAGUGAUGGAAAGAUGAAAAGCACUUUGAAAAGAGAGUGAAACAGCACGUGAAAUUGUUGAAAGGGAAGGGUAUGCGAUUAGCGGCCAGCAGGAGGUGCGUUCUCGCGAAAAGGCCGUGCACCGUCUUCGGACACCGUGCGCGGAGAUGGCGAGGGGGCGCCUGAGGUCUGCGACUCGAGGUGCUGGCGUAAUGAAUGCAUAGCCACC
rnacentral:rRNA from 1 species